UUGUCCGGGUACAUUCCGACACUAAGGGUACAUUUAAGAGGCCGGAAAGUUACGUAAGCAUCAGACGGACUGUUCAGGAGGACCGGGAAUGGCUCCGGAAGCCUGAGACUAUGAAGAAAGGUGUCCCAGUCUCAAGCCAAAGCUGGGGUUAGCCACACAGUCUUAGAAUUCAAAGGCAUCGUUGAAAGAGCAUCUCAGAGGUAUGUGGAUUGUGUUUACACACGUGUAAGUCUGCAUCUGUGUACAUCUGCAUACACGUCUCAAGGCAGAGCCAGUGGCUUCCUAUUAAGGAAGCUGUCUCCAAAUCUUCCUACCUAGGAACCACCAAACUGUUUCCAUAAUGGCUGCACCAUUUUAC